rnacentral:siRNA from 1 species
GACGUGAAUGGAGUGGUCGAGAGG